GAUGCUUAAAGAAUGGUUGUCCGUAGUAUGGUCUCUGUAUUUAUGGUGAUUAAUAUCAGAUAGCCAUUGUUUUAGUAUC
rnacentral:pre_miRNA from 1 species